GUGGCGCGCGGCAUGGCGGUGCUGGUCGCUGGGGCCUGGCGGGUGGCUGUGGCCUGGGAAUCCCAAGCGUCCGCGGUGGCUUUGGGCCGCUGCGAUCCCUUCCCGGAGGCCGGGCGGACGGCGCGCACUCGGCGGCCGUGUGAGGAGCACGGCCCGCCGGGCCCCACGUGAAGUGGAUCGCUGGGAAAGCCGAGCGCCGCCCGUGAUGUCGGUCUUCACCGCACGUCUGCCCAGGAGCACAACGGGGCGAGGAUGGAGUGGACGUCGGAGUGAAAAGGUGGGUGUCUGAAGCUGGCUGCUACUUCCUGAAUGGCACGCGAGAGAGCAAAGAUGACUUAAGGAUGUCCUUGAAGAUUUGGAAAUUCGAUCUUCAGAAACAUGAUUUAAAUUUUUUGAGAGGUGUAUCAAGGAAGACACUGCGUUUUUUGUAAAUAUGCAUUUGUAAGAAAAAUGUGAAUAAAUACUAAAUGUGCUGCUAUGA